CAAUAGCGUCUAUUAAAGUUGUUGCAGUUAAAAAGCUCGUAGUUGGAUUUCUGGUGGGAGCGAUCGGUCUGGCGCUUAGCGCGAGUACUUGCAUCGUCUCCGGCCAUCCUUGGGGAGAGUCUGUCUGGCAUUAAGUUGUCGGGCAGAGGAUCCUCAUCGUUUACUGUGAAAAAAUUAGAGUGUUCAAAGCAGGCUUAUGCCGUUGAAUAUAUUAGCAUGGAAUAAUAAGAUAGGACUUUGGUACUAUUUUGUUGGUUUGCGCACCAAAGUAAUGAUUAAUAGGGACAGUUGGGGGUAUUCGUAUUCCGUUGUCAGAGGUGAAAUUCUUGGAUUUACGGAAGACGAACUACUGCGAAAGCAUUUACCAAGGAUGUUUUCAUUAA
rnacentral:rRNA from 1 species